GCUGGAAUUACAGGUAUGUACCACUACAUCUGGCAAUAAAGGGCCUUUCUAAAUGUUCUCUAAGAACAUUUUCUGGUGCUAAGUUCUGUGAAUCAUUUUUGAGACUUUUUUAUAUUAAAAAGCUACCUAGUGGAUCAGGGAUAGUGUUUAUCCUUGUUUUGUCAAUCAACUUUAGGUCAGCCUCUUUGUCAUAACUCCUACUAGACCUUGUUAAUCUGAGAAGCAGUCAAUUCUAAAGGUGUUAGAGCCUCCCUAUUGCUUUCCCUGUUCUCUUAUUCUUGGCUUCUCUUUAUGCCCAAGGUAAGGACACUCCUCACACACACAUAGUUGGUUCAUCUGUAGGGGUGAAAGUGUUCUAAUACAUGCUUUAAAUAUAAUGUGGAUGUCAAUCGACCAAUGAACCAAAUCUGGAUUUCUCUGGAGUAUUCUAAUUCUACUACAAGAACAUGGAUGAGUGGGGUAUCAGUGGUAAAAAAAGUAAACAUGCAUGCAAAAUGCAAAAGGUCAUGAUGAAAAAUAAAACAGCCAGGAGAAAAGGAAGUCAUAAUUAUUAAAGGUCUUUCAUACAUGGCUCUCUACUGGAUUCCUUCAGUCCUCCCACAGGGCUUUAAACUUGCAAAAAGCAAAAGGUUUAUAUUAUCUGAAGAGAAACUAGAGUAUGUGCCUUUUGAACUUGUAAAUACAUAUACAAUAUGUCUCUUCCCAUUAGAUUGUAUGCCCCCAUGAAGACUGGGAUUAUACAAUGUCUUUUUUUUUUUAAAGAGAGAGAGAGAAUUUUAAUAUUUAUUUUUUAGUUUUCGGCAGACACAACAUCUUUCUUUGUAUGUGGUGCUGAGGAUCGAACCCGGGCUGCACGCAUGCCAGGCGAGUGCACUACCGCUUGAGCCACAUCCCCAGCCCAUACAAUGUCUUUCUUGUUCAUAUUUCUAUUCUGGUUCCUCACAGAGUUCUAGGCAAAUAGUGGCUGCUGGGCAAAUAUUACAUGAAUGAGUGAAUAAAUACAUUUAAACUUGAUAGUGAUGAAAAGUAAUACUAUCUCCAUUUUACAGAUGUUGAGGCAUAGAGGGACUUAGUGACUCACCUCUGAUCACAUAGCUAAAAAGUUGAGGAAUCUGAAGAUUGAGGGUGGGUGCCUGAAGUUAGGCUCUUUCUAUUUCCCUGAGCAUGUCCCUCCUGAAAACUGCCCCAAGCAAGUGUCACAACCACAUUCUAUGUCUUUGUAACAGAAAUGGACCACACCCUACUUGAAAUAGUAUCAGGGAAUCAUAGAAUGGAAGAACAACUAAGAAACUGGAGAAGAGCUUGGGUUCAAGUAGUAGAAGUAAAAGUUGAGCAAAGCCCAUACUGGGCAUCCAAAAAGGAAAAGAAAAGCAAAUGUCCAUUGCAAGUUGUGGCAUCCUAAGCCAGAAAUGAGUCAUCCCCUCAAGAGGCUAUGCCCCUCUCCUCCCCCAGGAGGUCUUAAUGGAGGAGAAGAGGGGCAGAUGAAGCAGUCUAUCACAAUGCCAUCUUUGAAUGCCAGAUGGACUUUUCUUUAGAAGUUUCUUGAGUGUUGAAAGUGAGAACUCACAUGUCUCCCAAUCCACCCCACACACUCCACCAGUCUGGUUUUUAUUUUUAUUUUUUUCUGUUGCUUCUGUUGUUGUUCACACUUUCCUGUAGGGUCAUUUCAAAUUCCUAUUUCCUGAUGACACAACAUCCUUCUGUAAUCAGCUGGCAGCGGGUACAGCCUGCGAAAACUUCAGGUAGCAGCCCUGCCUGGCACCAUUUUCAGCAGCAUCCUGUUCACAACUUUCCAGUUUGACUCCAAAUGCCAAUUUUGGUUUGUGAAAAUUUCCAUGGCCUCCUGCUAGGCUACUCUCUACAUAUUCCAGCUUAUAGCACAGUGAUCUCUUGGGCUGGGCCCCAGCCCCCAUCCUGUGCUCUGUGCUAUCAUUACUUCACAGAGGACGUUUUUUUUUUUUUUUUUUGGUACUGGGGAUUGAACUCAGGGACACUGGACCACUGAGUCACAUCUCCAGCCCUAUUUUUUAUUUUAUUUAGAGACGGGGUCUUGCUGAGUUGCUUAGCACCUCACUUUUGCUGAGGCUGGCUUUGAACUUGCGAUCCUCCUGCCUCAACCUCCCGAGCCGCUGGGAUUACAGGCACGCACCACCAAGCCCAGCCUGACACUUUUAACAUUGGUAAUGAGCAGUGACUUCAGACAUAGCCCAACAACCCCACUUGGGAGGAGGGGCAUACUGGAGGAACCCAGAGAGGGUAAGGAACUCUGUUAUAGUUAUAUGUUCCAAUUGUGACAGAACCAGGACUUGGAAACCAAGGCUUUAAGUCCACUACCCCAGGCUUCUUCAUGAAAAAAGGCUGCUAAAUUAGGAAGGUGAGGUUCUUGCAAUUCUGCUACAGUAUGCCAAAGAGUCUACAAUUCUAGAGUUACAAGGAGGCCCUGCAUUUUCUGUUGGAAUAAUUGAUUCAGGAUUUUCCCUUAGCAGCCUCCUCUGUUGUCGGGCUCUGGGCUAAGCAUUUACUGAUCUUCAAUGCUCCCUACUACUUUAGGGUUUACUAUUAGCCUUAUUACGCAACUAUAGAUCAACUUAUGAACAAUUGCAAUUCAAAUCUUAAUAUUGAAUCUUCCAAUCCAUGAACUUGGCAUAACACUCCAUUUUUAAAAGAUCUUUCAAUUCUCUUUCAAUGUGUUGGUCUUGUACUUCUUUUGUUAAAAUUAUUCACAUAUUUUUCUUGUUAUUAUGCAUGGAAAUAUUUUCAUAGCUUAGUCUUCCCAUUGUUUUUUAAUAGUGUAUUCUGAAACUUUUCUAAACUUAUCACUUCUAGUAUAUUCUCUCAGAUUCCUUAGGCUUUUCUACAUAUAAGAUCAUGUUGCCGGCAAAGUAAGGAAAAGGAUUACUUCUUCCCCUCCAAUGUGCAUGUCUUCAAUGUCUUUUUCUUGCCCUGUGGUACUGGUUAGGAUCUUGCAUGUAAAGCUGAAUAGCAGCAGUAAGAGUGAACAUUCUUGUCCUUUUUGCUGUCCUUUUGACAGAUCCUGGUUGCUGUCUUUUCAAAAUGAAUCUUGGUGACUCUUCCAGAAAGGAGAUAGUAAAGCCUUUCUGCUGAAUUAAGGAGUAUCUUCAUCAUCUCCUCCUGCCUUCUUGCCUUGAAGAUGUAUGAAAUGUGGAUUUCUCAUAAAGGACAAAUGACAUCCAUAUUUCUCUCUCAAAGGUCCCUCUGGAACAGCUUCAUCCUUUCAGCAGCAGAGGUUUAAUAUGUGAAAGGAGUUUAACACCUUUCUUUUUUGGCCCCCUCCAGGGAUUCAGUGAGUAUGUUAGUCAGCUUUCCAUCACUAUGACAAAAUACAUGAGAAAAAUCAACUUAAAGGAUAAUGAUUUUUUUUUUUUUUUGACUCAUGGUUUCAGGAGUUUCAGUCCAAGGUCACUUGGCUGUGUUGUUUUGGGGUCUCUGGUAAGGCAGAACAUGAUGGUGGAAGGUCCUGGUAAAGGAAAGCUGUCAUCUCAUGGCGGCCAGACAACAAAAAGAAAAGGGACCCAGGGACAAGAUGUAGCCUUCAAGGGUAGGCCCCCCAGUGACCUGCUUCUUCCAACUAGGCCCCUACUCCUGAAGUUCCCACUAUUUCCCAAUAGUGCCACCAGCUGGGUAUCAAGCCUUCAACAUAUGAGCCUUUGGGGACAUUCCAGAUUCAAACUGUAACAGUGAAGGAAAAAUGAAAAUUAUGGUGCUUAGAACUCUGAUGCAAGAUCUCGCUAAAUUCCAGAAGGAACUAGGAUGAUGCUCACAAGAACCUGACAGCUGAGAGCCUCCUAGGCACUGCGGGAUGCUCUGAUGUGCUCCCUGCUAUAUUCCAGCUGCCUGUGCUUUCUUCUCUCCCAUGCUCUUCAGAGCACCUACUAACUCCAAACAGACUGAUCCCGCCAAAGCCCCUAAGCCCCAUGCUCAUCUUAGGGUCUCUGGUUAUGCUAUCCCUUCCCUCUUGGAAUGCCUUCCCACUUUCUUCUGCUUGUCCCUUUCUUGAAUCUUCUUCUAAAAUCUGAUCAAUCUGGACCCCAGAAAUUUCUUCAUCUCUCCACAUCUGUAGUCUGACUGCCACUCAACUUAGUACAUGAUUACAGCAGGUUUGUGCUGUGUAGCUCAUAAAGUUUUUCCUAACCACUUGGAUAUAGGAAAUUUCACAUUUAUUUUUGUCUAAAUCAUGAUCUCUAGCUCAACCCACCAACACUGAUGAGAAAUCUACAGCAACUAAAAGGAAUGUCUCCUUCUUUCUGAGGUUCUUGCAGUGGCUCUGGGGGCAGGUCUUCAGUAUCCUUUAUCGCUGAUAAGUUAACUAUUCACUAUGUCCCAAGCCUCUUAGGCAGGUUUUGAGAGCACAGUGCAACCUUUCAGUAAAUCCUUGUCAAGUUACUACCUCUAACUUGUUUUUGUGUACCCCACCCCACCCGACUCUGGCACAGAGAAGUCUCCCUGAUCCCCUCGACACUCUACAGAAAACCUGAAGGUGACCACACAAGAGGACUAGCCUUGCCCACACAGUCACAGACAUGGGUGGACCCAUCACAGCUGGAGAGAGCAGGUGUGAAGUGAGUGACUAAGGGGGUGCAGCUGGAACAUGUGGUCCCCAGGCCAUGGGGGGCAGCCAGACCCCAUUUAGGCACUUCCUCCCUUCCUGAGGUGGCCCUGAGGUCCCGGGCAACCCUACCCAUGACCCUGGAGCCUGUCAUUGUCUCAUGGUUCAAGUUCUUUCUGCCUGGAGAGUGCGUGCCUGUUUGGCCACUUUGCCAGGGUUUCCAUCACAUGCUAAGGAUCGUGAAUUAUAAAAGUCGCUUUUCUCCAGUCAAUUUAAGCCAGUCUGGCAUGAGUCCCUUAUUCUCCUUUGUCAACGAGGCAAAGACUCAGUUGUUCAUCCAGCUUUGUGUCUUGCAAUGAAGCAACCCUUUCCCUGCCCUUCCUUUCUCCCUUAGAAGCCCUGAUUCUGGCUUUUUCUUGACCCUGCUCUGAAGUGUGUGGAAAAUCUGCUUCAGUGCAGUUCCCCAGUAGUUUGUUUCUCCUCACUUCCACCUUUUCCUCCUGUCUGUGUGGGACCAUCCAGGGAUGAGAGUAGGAAUAGGGUUUGUAACUGGCAGCUCAUUGAUGGGUGUUAUUUUGAUGCUGAGCAAGAAUGACUAAACUAACACUCCAUGGAGAGGCCUCUGUAGCCAGGGGCAAGACUUGUAGCUGGUGCAGGACUUACAGCAGGAGGGCAGGAUGAGGUUUGGUCUCUGCCCCCAGCAGCUCAGCAUCUAAGCUGUUAGAGGAGGAUCCCCUGUGGGACUUUGACAAAUAGAGGUAUUUCUUUCCUGUUUUUAAAACCAGAAGUCUUUUCAUGGAGGCCCAUUUUAGAGCUUGUACCUGUCUAUUUGUACUUCCACCUUUUAGUGUACAACCUCCUCCAUCCACUUCUACUUAUCCCCCUAGAUUAGCUCCUGCAGUGUGAGAUUAAUGUUUACAGUGUGAGAUUAAUUUUUACCCGGAGACUUCUCCUUUCUAACCAAUUGAGUUCCACCAGUUUUUUCACCACCUUGAUGCUUUGUUUGAUUUCUUUUGCAUGUGUUUAGUAGUGGCUUUGAAAUAAUCCAAAUCUUGUAUCUUACUUUCAGACUCCCUAAAGCCAGAGUGCAUCUUUCCCCACUCAGUGCUUUGUUCAAUUCUUGGCCCACAGGACACUGACCACCUUCCGCAAAGCCUCACACAUGCCUUACAGCUAAACCCCAGGGUGCCUGAAGUUAAAGCUCUACUGGCUCUUUGAAUCAGACAGAGCUGCUACCCUUCCAGUACCUGCUAACUAAACACUGUCAGGUGCCCUAAUGGAUGCUUCCUCCUGCAUGUAGACUUACUGAGAGGUGUGUUUAUUGAGGUUAGCAGGUUGUUUUUCUGUUUACAUCCCCUUAACCCAAAGAAAACGUUUGGUGGAAAAGGCAAGUUGAAAUUUCUGAAGGGAUGCUAUUUCAGAUCAUGUCUUUCUGAGCCCUUGAGUCUAUAAUUUUAUAAAAAGGGAAGGUAGGUGUAGCUUAGUGGUAGAACAUAUGCUUCAUGUGCUUUAGGCCCUGGGUCCAAUCCCCAGUACUCCAGUACUCCCCACCAAACACACACACACACACACACACACACUCUCUCUCUCUCUCUCUCUCUCUCACACACACACACUCUCUCUCUCUCUCUCUCUCACACACACACACACACACACACACACACACACCAGCCCAGGUGAUGCUGAUGUAUACCUUUGAUUAUCAGUGGGAUCUACUUGACACUGACAGUGUAGUCCCUGGGCAAACAGCAUCAUCUUCAGCCUUAACUAAUCAAGAAAUGCAUAAUCCCAUGCUACACCUAAAACUACCGAAUCAGAAUCUAUAUUGUAGCCAGAUUCUCAGGUGAUUAGCUCAUACCCUGAAGUAUAAGAACUCUUGAUUUAUUAGUGAUUGCACUGGGGCAUGAGCUUUAACUAGGGCAACUUAUUAUGGUCACUUUUCCUAUCAUGGAGAUAGUAUGUGGGAGCCAAAGAAAGGACAGAGAAGAAAUUUGGGCAGCCACAACUCUAGGAUCCUCUUUCUCCGAAACUGGGAUAGAGUCUCAGGGCCUAUCUUUCUGGACUCUUUUUUUUUCACAGUAGGUAACUAAUAAUUGAAUUGUUUGUUCUCCUCGUUAGUUGUGUUUGCUAUUAUUACAGCAUAAGUUGUUGGGGCAGCAGAGAAGAGUGUUAAUGAGCUUAUGGGGAGAGAUCUCUGGAACUGUCAUAACCCUGUAUCUUUCUUUAUUCGAUGCUGAUCCACACACCCGCUACUCCUCCUCUCACCUCCUCUUAGAGUAACCUUAGUUGCUAUGACUGUUCUAUCCCUACAUCCUGUUUCUGCCUUUUCUAGUUCUUGACAUUUUGUCUUUCAUCCUGUUCUAGACUUUUAGCUUGCUUCCUAGCCUCCAUUAACUUUCUGAUCUUCAACAGAUAAUUAUUUUAACACCUUCUGUUACACCAGUGAACACUGAGGAUUCAAAGUAAAUGCAAGAUGCAAUUUCUGCCUCCAAGGGUCUGCACCAUUGUGUUCAUUACUUAGCCCUCACUGUGCUAAAUGCUUAAUUUAGGUAAUCUUAUUUAGUUUUCAACAAUAUAACUGUGAGGUUGUCCCCACGUUAUAGGUGCAAGAAGCUGGGCUCAAAUCCUUAAAUAAUUUCCCUAGGGCCAUAUCUAAUUUAGAAGCAUAGGUAGGAUUUAGGCCUAAGUAUGAUUAUCUCAAGUCCGUUACUGAAGAUCCAUACUUCUAGCUCAGAAUUGCAUGGUUUCACAAUGCAUAGUCAUUACUUUAUGUAUAUAAAAGUCUUUUUUCUCUGUCUCCCACAAUGGCUAUGAGAGUGUCUUAAAGCACUCUAGAAAAGACAUUUUCCUCAUUGAUGAGCCCAGGACACAUUUCCAAUGCCCAGGACAGUGCCUCACAUAUCACAAUCAACAGGAGGAAGAAGGCUGUUUUGAACCAUCUCUUGGAUUCUACCCUUCUACCACAGAGCAUCCUCAAGCCUGAGGUUCUCAGCAUCCUUGGGGCCUGGGGUCCUCCCUAAUUCACCUCUGCCUUUCAGAGGCAGGCAGCCAGACCAAGAGACCCUUUUUCACUUUGUCUAAAUAUAACAUAUACGGAGUUAAUCCAAGCUUUCUGCCUAGAAAAUUCCAAAAAACAUUAUUCUGAAGCUUUAUAAUUUACACAACCGACAAUAAAAAUGUUGAAGGAGCUGGGUGCAGUGGUGCAGGCCUAUAAUCCCAGCAAUUCAGGAAGUUGAGGUGGGAGGAUCAUGAGUUCAAAGCCAGCCUCAGCAAAAGCAAGGGCCUAAGCAACUCAGUGAGACCCUGUCUCUAAAUAAAAUACAAAAUAGGGCUGGGGAUGUGGCUCAGUGGUUAAGCACCCCUGGGUUCAAUCCCCAAUAACAAACAAACAAAAAAUAAAUAAAAUUGAAGGAAUUUCAGUAGAUGGAUGUGGUACAACCCUACCUUUCCUGGUGCUAUGAUUAGGAUAUAAGUUAUCCUCCAAAAGCUCACAUGUGAGACAAUGCAGGAAGGUUCAGAGGAGAAAUGAUUGGCAGGUUAACCCAAUCAGUGAAUUAAUCCCUGAUGAGAUUAAUUGAAGUGGUAGGGUGUGGUUGGAGGAGGUGAGAAUUGGGGCAUGGCUUUGGGGUAUAUAUUUGUAUCCGGAAAGUGGAGUCUCUCUCUGCUUCCUGAUCACCAUGAUGUGAGGCUGCUUCCCUCUGUCACAUUCUCCCACCAUGAUGUCCAGCCUACCUCCAGCCAUGAGAAAUGGAGCCGACCUUCUAUGGACUAAGACCCCAAAACCGUGAGCCCCUUCUCUAUAGUUAUUCUGGUCAGAUCCUUUAGUCACAGCAUAGAAAAGGCUGACUAAAACACCUGAUGUUUUAGAGGCUGCCCACUAUGCCAGCUGUCUCCCACAAUGGCUAUGAGAGAAUAUCCUCUUCCAGGCUCCUUUGUGCUACCUCCUCAGGGCACUUAUAGGACUUUCCCUUUUCUGUCCUUUAAAGGGAAAAACAUAACAUAGGCCACAGAGAAUGAUUUAACAUUUCUGUUGUGCUAAUAAGUUUUGAUUUAUAUUGUGAUUAUAUUGUAGCAUUCUCUUUUGUGAACUAGUGGGCACAGGAAAAAUUAUUGAAGGCUGAAAUGUAUGUAAACUGUUUAGACACCCUAAAUUAGAAUCCUUCACUUGGGAAGCCUUUGAGAAAGCUUUCUCAAGACUGCUAAAUACAGGAUAGGAAUUAGUCCCAUUUUAUAGGCCAGGAAACUGAGACCAAAGGUAAGGUAGGAUACAGGAACUUUGACAUGCUUUACUGUUCCCACCACACAAUAUAUCAUUUCCUAAACUGAAUUCACAAUGGGAAGUUUGAAUGUUAAAUUUGGCAGGGUUGUGGUUAAAAACUUGAAAUUUAGAGUCAGGAAAACUUUGGUACUUGGGUAAGUUAUUAACCUCAGUUUCCUGAAAGAAAUUACUAAUAUGUACCCCACUGGCUUGUAAUGAGGAAUUAAACAGGAUGAUGUAUGUAGAACACUUGACAGAGUGCUUGGCACAUAGUUAUCACUUCAUAAUUGUUAGUUGUGAUUUUUACUAAAACUAUGAUUAUGUGAGUCCUUCAGUUUCCCUGAGAAGUCCUCCUUGUUAUGUGACCAGCAGGCUUAUCCUUGUAGGGCCCAGGUACAUGUAGUUUUUGUAACUCUGUUUUUUUCUUGACCUAUUUUCUGGUUAAAACUCAGACUUUCAGGAUUGCAACCACAUCCCCUUAGUCUUUACACUCAUUUCAGACAUCAUGUUCAAACUGAGAUUUUAGUUACUUAUCUAAAUACAGUAUUAGUAUUAGUUCAUGGAACAGACCUCCUACAUGUUCUUAUUAUUUCUUGAUAACUCAGGUCUGAAAUUCCAAUGUCUCAAGGUCCAGAGAUGUUAGCUCAAGUAGAGCAGAUCCAAGCCCAAGAACUGAUAUGUCUAUUUUGAAAGAGAGAACUUGCUUCCUUUAGUUUCUAUAGCAAAUAUUGAAUCUAGGGUAUCAAAUGAUCUGAGACAUAUUACAAUAAAGGGGCUUAAUUAAGAAUACAAAUUCCAUUAAAUCAAAACUAUUUACAACCCUGGGAUUUUGUAAAGUCUAAAGAAAGAAUUCUCCAGACUUGAUCCAAUAGACUUGGUUCUGUGUAACCACUUGAGAAAAUUUAAUUUCAAGAGUCAACAUAUUAAUGCUGAUUGACAUUGGUUUUUCUCUGAUGCAGAAUGAUAGACAUGGCCACCUCAUGGUUCUCAUUUGAGAUCCCAAUACCCUAGGACUUGAAGGAAACUGACAUUCUCUCCCUACUUUCCUCUCUUUUUUUACCUCAUUAAAUUAAGAGAAUUCUUCAGAGAAUCAAGAACUGGAUAAUCCAUUUUUAUGAUAAGAAAGAGACUCCUUUAACUAACUCAUUACCUCCUUCAGUCUUGGUACAGCUUUCUUUAUUUCUUUUUUAUUUUUUUCAACUGGCAAUGGAAUCCAGAGGCACUUCACCACUAGUACUAGUUGUACCCCUAGUCAUGUGACACCAACCUAAUAAGAACUUCCCAGAGAAUCUUGGAAAUGUUUUCACAUGUACUGGAAAGAGAUGAAUGACAAAAUUUGGUGAACCCAAAGCAUUGUGUCUGCUUACAGGGAAGCCCCCUCUUACUCUCCUCUCCUCCUUCUUCAAAUGUAGCAGUCUGACCUACAGUAGAUACCGUAAGUACAGUCAGCACAGUAAAUUGGAUGGAAGAAACGAUGAACGAAUUGUAACCUAAGAUCUUACAGUGAAUAAAAGAGUGGGCUGGAAUGGACUUGUAUUGAACUGGUUAGCUGGUUAAUAGAAAAUUCUGUAUUAAUUUAUAGUAUGCCCACAAAUUAUAGGAAGAAAUCAAAACCACAUCAUUAAAAAAUAGGAUACAGCUAGGUGUGGUGAUGCAUGCCUCUAAUCUCUGAAGGAGGAUUGAGGCAGGAGGAUCAUGUGCUCAAGGCCAGCCUCAGCAAUUCUAUAUUAAUUUCUCUGACACCCUGGGGAGUUCUUAUCAGAUUGGGGCCACAUGACUGGAUUAAAACCAAUAGCACAGGGAAGAAAUUACAUGUUAUUCUCAGGCCCCUGGCCAUAAAAUUCAUUGCACCUUUGUCCAUGUUCUCACUUUCCCUUCUGUGAUGACCUCUGAAUCUAAAUAACAGCAAUAUAAGAUUAUAGGAUUGUGGAUCCCUGAGUCACCACUGUAAGGAGAGUCACAGAAGGACUCUGGUCUGGGGCUUCCUUGUUAUUGACCUAGCCUUGGUUGCCCUACUACAUGCUUUCUAAAGGUGGGGGUGUCUUAGUUUAAUACUGAAGGGAAAGAAGAAACUAGGCUACAUCAAGUCACUUUUAAUGAUCUUAUUCCAGCUAGAAAAAAAACUAUCAAAAAAUAGCCAGAUUUUCUAUGCAGAAUAUAUUGAUCAAAUACCAAAGUUUUGAAUGAACCCCAGGUUUCUGCUUAAACAACUGGAUAUAGUACAAUCACCACAGAAGAGACUGUAGAAUUUUCCAGAAAAAUUCUUCACACUAUAGAAAGUUGUAACAAGACUGCCAAGUGUGAUGGCACAUGCCUCUGAUUUUAAAGACUUGGGAGGCUGAGUCAAGGGGAUCACAAGUUUGAGGUUGGCCUCAGCAAUUUAGCAAGAUCCUGCCUCAAAAAAAAAAAACAAAAAAGACCUGGGAUUGUAGCUCAAUGGUAAAGCAUCUCUGGGUUCAAUCCUCAGUAUGGAUGGAUGGAUGGAUGGAUGGAUGGAUGGAUGGAUGGAUGGAUGGAAGGAAGGAAGGAAGGAGGGAGGGAAGGAGGGAGGGAGGGAGGAAAAGAAGGAAGGAAGGAAGGCUGGCUACUAGAUUGGGGAUCCCCAGAAAAUUCCUUUUAUCAUUUGAACACACAACCUUACUCACCAGAGGCACUCCAGCUCUCCUCCUCCCCUCUAAGGCACUCUGGCAAUCACUCUGUAGUUGUUUCAAAGAUUGGGAAAUUAUUCUGAAAGCAAUGUGGCCUGUUGAUGGCAUUGACUUUGGCUCCCCUCAUCACCACUGUCAGUGUUGCCAUAAGCCUGUUUGUAAGGUCCUAAAGUUGGCUGCCCUUGAAAUAAAAUGGGAAAAACCUGAGUUUGUGGGAUAGCUUGGUCCCAAGCCCAGUUCCUCUGCCAAAGAGAGUGAACAAUCCUGCAUUUGUGGUACCCUGAGCUUGCAGUGACCUUCCGGGCCAGCCAUGAUGCCGGAGGGAGCACUUAUUCUCUGAAAUGACAGUAGAGGAAGAACCAACCCAUUGCCCAAGGACUAAUAAAUAGGCCCCUCUUUUUCCUGGGACAGCUUCAGCAGGGCCCUGUACAGGACUUAACUCUUUGUUUUCUUGAAAUUUGUGCACAGAGACUCAUCUGUUUUAUCUCUUAGUUAAAAACUGAUUGGGUUGAAAACAGAUAAUAAUUAGUCCUCAGUGCUAACUAUAGUUUAAAGUUAUUUGAGGACUUGAAAUAACCUUUACCUCUGUACCAGAGGGUAAGGAUCAUGUGAGUUUUAUUUAUUGUUUGAUAAAUAAAUAGUACAUACUAGCAUAGUGCAUGGCAAAGAAUAUGUACUAGGGAAAUUUUAUUAAAUGGAGAAUGACUAUGGAUAGCCUUCUCUCAAAGCUUAGGCUCUCAUUUUGCCUUGCUUUACCACCAUCCUCUCCACAAGUGAACAUUUUCUCUUGUCAUUGUUAACAUAAAAUAUGUUUCGUGUGGCUUCUACUGCUUGUUCUUGACUCGGUGACUCUCAGAAUCAUCAGGGACAGAGACUUGUGGUUAUCCCUUUCACUUUCAACUUUGGGCUGGUGGUAAAACCUCUUGCGUACGUGUAUCCUGGGUGUGAUCUCCUCUCUCCAGCACUUUCAAAAUGCACAAGUCCAUUUGUGAGGGCGGAGCCUUCUUGAUCAAAUCACUUCUCACUGCCCAAAUGGGGAUUAAGCUUUAACAUACAAAUUUUGCCAAGGUCUUUGGGAAAAUGAUUCUCAGCCUCUUGUUCCACUUGGCCAAGAAGGUCCCUUGCUUAGAUUCCCAGAAUUGCAACUCUUGGUGCUAAUUUUGAGUCCUUCUGUGGUCUGUCCCCCAAAAUCUAGUCACCUAAAUGGGCUGCAACAGCUUUUAUCAGGGUAGCCAGCCCUCUGACCCCAAAAGUCUGGAUAUUUUCCUUUCCUUGGGAACAUUGUACUGUAAGUCUGGCAAUUCCUGAAAAUGUAAAAGGUCCUCAUUAUUUAAUAUUUUCCAGCAAAUAAGGCCAUGGCAUCUGAGGUAGGAGUUUAGGGAUAUCAAGAUGGCAGAGGCAGGGUACAAGAAAAAUGUUGGCUAGAAUAUAAGAUGGGGCAAUGAAUCAUCUUGUCUCUGUUUAUGGUAAGUCCUAUUACCAUGGCAACUCCGCCACUGAGUGCUUAUCAGCAUAGCAACUCUGCCAGAAGUCCCAUAUUCUAAUUAGGCGAAAAUAAAGUAACCAAUGGGAACAAAUAGGGCAGGGUCUUCAAUUAGGUCCAUAAAGAGAAGAAUGCAGAACAGUUUGACACAUAAAAAAUCAAAUUGCCCAGACCUUGGGGCCUUGACCUCUCACAGAGGUUGCUCCACUCUACUUUAUGGAGUGUUUUUGUUGUUGAUGUUGUUUUGUUUUGUUUUUGUACUAGGGAUUGAAUCCAGAAGUGCUUAACCACUGAGACACAUCCCCAGCCCUUUUUUGGAGGAGGUUGGGGGAUCAGGGAUUGAACUCAGAGCACUCAUCCACUGAGCCACAUCCCCAGCCCUAUUUUGUAUUUUAUUUAGAGACAGGGUCUCACUGAGUUGCUUAGCGCCCCACUGGUUGCCGAAGCUAGCUUUGAACUCAUGAUCUUCCUGUCUCAGCCUCCUGAGCUGCUGGGAUUACAAGCAUGCACCACCGUGCCCAUUUCCUCAGCCCUUUUUUAUUUUUUAUUUUUAUUUUUUUUUUGUUUUGAGACUGGUUCUCACCAAGUUGCUUAGGGUCUUGCUAAGUUGGUGAGGCUGGCCUCGAACUUGCAAUUCUCCUGCUUCAAUCUCCUGAGUGGCUGGGAUUAUGGCUGGAUCACCAUGCUGAGCUCACUUUUACUUUCAAUAAAUCUAUACUCUGCCUUUUAUUUCUGCAUGUCUUGCUCAGUUCUUUGUUUGGAAGCCAAGAACCUGGACCCCAACUGGACUCUUCACUGAUAUCACAUCUACUUCUUCAGAUUCAUCACUUCGAUGGUUUCUAUGGAGCCCUGUUGCCUUUGGAGGAGGGAGCUACCUGUAGAGUCUCAGGAUAGUUCACUCUCCCAGACUUUUUGAUGCAUUUCUUAAAAAAGAAGAGAAGCAAGAAGGGGAACUGGAGAGGAAUGAGGGAAAAAAUAAAAUAAAAGCUAAAUGUGAAUAGAUCAUCCUACUACACAUUGCACUUCACACAUUAACUGCCAAGACAGAUUCCCUGUUUUUCUUGAGUAGAAAUCAGACUUCCUUCUCUAAAUUGUACUUACUCAAAAAUUUAACAAAAAACAUACAAUCAGGAAGAAAAUUGAGAGAUCAUUCUGUUAAGCUGUCUGGCUUCAAGGUGCUGAGUCUUUGCUGGACAUUUCAGUAAAAUAAUUGAAAAACUUAUGUAAAAUAGUAUUAUAGGUGAUGGGGCAGGCUCCUAGGAUGAAAUAACAGGGUGCCUGAAGUUAAAUUAUUAUUAUUUUUUAGAAUAAGCAUCAGUUUUAUUUUGGAGGAUUAGGAUCAGUGGUAGGAAAACAAUUUGUGCAUGGGCCCCUUGGUGCAUGUCACCUUGGGAAAGGAUUGGGGGUUGGAGCAGAAUUGUGAGGCAAAGGAGGACUAGCUCUUGGCUCUGACUUGGCACACCUUUUCAGGGCCUGUGACAUGUUUUCCAGGCCCUACUGCCUAGUAUUUCAAAGCACCUAGUCAUUGCUGUCUGCAUCAGUCUCUAGUAAGGAAGGACACGUCCUGACUCACAAGGUGUGAUCCAGAUCAUCACUAUCAUCAAUAGUAGGUUUGGAAGGAAAACAUCAAAUUGUGUGAAGGUGGGAGAAGUUAUCACAAAUUGUUAAUUCAUGACACUCUUAAGAAUAAUGGCAAUAUUAAAAACAAAACAAAAACGCAGGCUGGGGUUACAGCUCAGUGGCAGAGUAGUUGCCUAGCAUGCAUGAGGACCAAAAAAAAAAAAAUUAAAAAACAAACCCACUGCAUUCUAUGAGGCUGUUGUGAGAAGCAAACUAGGAAGGAAACCAAAUGCAGACCCUUUGAAUGCCACAGAAACAGGCCCCAGAUCAUGCAUCAACCCCUGUAUCAAAAUCAGAGCAUGAGACACUAGGGUGGGAGAGUGAUUGAAUUUCACAGAUUAAGAGCCUAUGAUGAGAAGCCAGGCAUGAUGAUGCAUGCUUGUAAAAUCAGCAACUCUGGAAGCAGGGUGGAUCACAAGUUGAAGGCCAGCCUCAGCAAUUUAGCAAGGCCUGAAGCAAUUUAGUCUCAAAAAAUAAAAAGGGCUG
rnacentral:lncRNA from 1 species